CGUUUCCACGCGUGGUAUUAUUCUUGUGAAUGUGUUUUAGCUACAAUCACAGGAUAAUACUGCGAGUGGCGGUGUC